UACGGGGGGGGCAAGCGUUGUUCGGAAUUAUUGGGCGUAAAGAGCUCGUAGGCGGCUUGUCACGUCGGGUGUGAAAGACCGGGGCUUAACUCCGGUUCUGCAUUCGAUACGGGCUAGCUAGAGUGUGGUAGGGGAGAUCGGAAUUCCUGGUGUAGCGGUGAAAUGCGCAGAUAUCAGGAGGAACACCGGUGGCGAAGGCGGAGCUCUGGGCCAUUACUGACGCUGAGGAGCGAAAGCGUGGGGAGCGAACAGG
rnacentral:rRNA from 1 species